UCUGGCCCCCCUCUGGGGGGUCCGAGUUGUAAUUUGCAGAGGGUGCUUUGGCAUCGGCGGCGGUCUAAGUUCCUUGGAACAGGACAUCGCAGAGGGUGAGAAUCCCGUACGUGGGCGCCUGCCUUUGCCGUGUAAAGCCCCUUCGACGAGUCGAGUUGUUUGGGAAUGCAGCUCUAAAUGGGAGGUAAAUUUCUUCUAAAGCUAAAUACCGGCCAGAGACCGAUAGCGCACAAGUAGAGUGAUCGAAAGAUGAAAAGUACUUUGGAAAGAGAGUCAAAUAGCACGUGAAAUUGUUGAAAGGGAAGCGCUUGCAGCCAGACGUGCGCGCGGUUGCUCACCCCGGCUCUCGCCUGGGGCACUCUUCCGCGCGCAGGCCAGCAUCAGUUCGGGCGGUCGGAUAAAGGCCUCUGUCAAGUACCUUCCCCCGGGAAGGCCUUAUAGGGGAGGCGCAAUGCGACCAGCCCGGACUGAGGUCCGCGCAUCUGCUAGGAUGCUGGCGUAAUGGCUGUAAGCGGCCCGUCUUGAAACACGGACCAAGGAGUCUAACAUCUAUGCGAGUGUUUGGGUGUCAAGCCCGGGCGCGCAAUGAAAGUGAACGGAGGUGGGAUCCCCUUCCGGGGUGCACCAUCGACCGAUCCUGAUGUCUUCGGAUGGAUUUGAGUAAGAGCAUAGCUGUUGGGACCCGAAAGAUGGUGAACUAUGCUUGAAUAGGGUGAAGCCAGAGGAAACUC
rnacentral:rRNA from 1 species